rnacentral:rRNA from 1 species
AUACGGUGAAUACGUUCCCGGACCUUGUACACACCCGCCCGUCAAGCCAUGGAAGCUGGGUGUACCUAAAGUCGGUAACCGUAAGGAGCCGCCUAGGGGUAAAACUAGUAACUGGGGCU